rnacentral:rRNA from 1 species
GGGUUGUGAGGUUAAGCGACUAAGCGUACACGGUGGAUGCCCUGGCAGUCAGAGGCGAUGAAGGACGUGCUAAUCUGCGAAAAGCGUCGGUAAGGUGAUAUGAACCGUUAUAGCCGGCGAUGUCCGAAUGGGGAAACCCAGUGCAAUUCGUUGCACUAUCGUUUGAUGAAUACAUAGUCAAACGAGGCGAACCGGGGGAACUGAAACAUCUAAGUACCCCGAGGAAAAGAAAUCAACCGAGAUUCCCCCAGUAGCGGCGAGCGAACGGGGAGCAGCCCGGAGUCUGAAUCAGCUUGUGUGUUAGUGGAAGCGUCUGGAAAGUCGCAGGGUACAGGGUGAUACUCCCGUACACUAAAACGCACAGGCUGUGAACUCGAAGAGUAGGGCGGGACACGUGGUAUCCUGUCUGAAUAUGGGGGGACCAUCCUCCAAGGCUAAAUACUCCUGACUGACCGAUAGUGAACCAGUACCGUGAGGGAAAGGCGAAAAGAACCCCGGCGAGGGGAGUGAAAAAGAACCUGAAACCGUGUACGUACAAGCAGUAGGAGCCUCUUUAUGGGGUGACUGCGUACCUUUUGUAUAAUGGGUCAGCGACUUAUAUUCUGUAGCAAGGUUAACCGUAUAGGGGAGCCGCAGGGAAACCGAGUCUUAACUGGGCGUUAAGUUGCAGGGUAUAGACCCGAAACCCGGUGAUCUAGCCAUGGGCAGGUUGAAGGUUGGGUAACACUAACUGGAGGACCGAACCGACUAAUGUUGAAAAAUUAGCGGAUGACUUGUGGCUGGGGGUGAAAGGCCAAUCAAACCGGGAGAUAGCUGGUUCUCCCCGAAAGCUAUUUAGGUAGCGCCUCGUGAACUCAUCUUCGGGGGUAGAGCACUGUUUCGGCUAGGGGGUCAUCCCGACUUACCAACCCGAUGCAAACUACGAAUACCGAAGAAUGUUAUCACGGGAGACACACGGCGGGUGCUAACGUCCGUCGUGAAGAGGGAAACAACCCAGACCGCCAGCUAAGGUCCCAAAGUCAUGGUUAAGUGGGAAACGAUGUGGGAAGGCCCAGACAGCCAGGAUGUUGGCUUAGAAGCAGCCAUCAUUUAAAGAAAGCGUAAUAGCUCACUGGUCGAGUCGGCCUGCGCGGAAGAUGUAACGGGGCUAAACCAUGCACCGAAGCUGCGGCAGCGACACUAUGUGUUGUUGGGUAGGGGAGCGUUCUGUAAGCCGUUGAAGGUGGCCUGUGAGGGUUGCUGGAGGUAUCAGAAGUGCGAAUGCUGACAUAAGUAACGAUAAUGCGGGUGAAAAACCCGCACGCCGGAAGACCAAGGGUUCCUGUCCAACGUUAAUCGGGGCAGGGUGAGUCGACCCCUAAGGCGAGGCCGAAAGGCGUAGUCGAUGGGAAACAGGUUAAUAUUCCUGUACUCGGUGUUACUGCGAAGGGGGGACGGAGAAGGCUAUGUUGGCCGGGCGACGGUUGUCCCGGUUUAAGCAUGUAGGCGGAUGUUCCAGGUAAAUCCGGAACGUUACUAACGCUGAGGUGUGAUGACGAGGCACUACGGUGCUGAAGUGACAAAUGCCCUGCUUCCAGGAAAAGCCUCUAAGCAUCAGGUAACAUCAAAUCGUACCCCAAACCGACACAGGUGGUCAGGUAGAGAAUACCAAGGCGCUUGAGAGAACUCGGGUGAAGGAACUAGGCAAAAUGGUGCCGUAACUUCGGGAGAAGGCACGCUGAUAGGUAGGUGAAGUGGUUUACCCAUGGAGCUGAAAUCAGUCGAAGAUACCAGCUGGCUGCAACUGUUUAUUAAAAACACAGCACUGUGCAAACACGAAAGUGGACGUAUACGGUGUGACGCCUGCCCGGUGCCGGAAGGUUAAUUGAUGGGGUUAUCCGUAAGGAGAAGCUCUUGAUCGAAGCCCCGGUAAACGGCGGCCGUAACUAUAACGGUCCUAAGGUAGCGAAAUUCCUUGUCGGGUAAGUUCCGACCUGCACGAAUGGCGUAAUGAUGGCCAGGCUGUCUCCACCCGAGACUCAGUGAAAUUGAACUCGCUGUGAAGAUGCAGUGUACCCGCGGCAAGACGGAAAGACCCCGUGAACCUUUACUAUAGCUUGACACUGAACACUGGUCCUUGAUGUGUAGGAUAGGUGGGAGGCUUUGAAGUGUGGACGCCAGUCUGCAUGGAGCCAUCCUUGAAAUACCACCCUUUAAUGGCUGGUGUUCUAACGUGGGCCCCUAAUCGGGGUUGCGGACAGUGUCUGGUGGGUAGUUUGACUGGGGCGGUCUCCUCCUAAAGAGUAACGGAGGAGCACGAAGGUCAGCUAAUCCUGGUCGGACAUCAGGAGGUUAGUGCAAUGGCAUAAGCUGGCUUGACUGCGAGCGUGACGGCGCGAGCAGGUGCGAAAGCAGGUCAUAGUGAUCCGGUGGUUCUGAAUGGAAGGGCCAUCGCUCAACGGAUAAAAGGUACUCCGGGGAUAACAGGCUGAUACCGCCCAAGAGUUCAUAUCGACGGCGGUGUUUGGCACCUCGAUGUCGGCUCAUCACAUCCUGGGGCUGAAGUAGGUCCCAAGGGUAUGGCUGUUCGCCAUUUAAAGUGGUACGCGAGCUGGGUUUAGAACGUCGUGAGACAGUUCGGUCCCUAUCUGCCGUGGGCGCUGGAGAAUUGAGGGGGGCUGCUCCUAGUACGAGAGGACCGGAGUGGACGCAUCACUGGUGUUCGGGUUGUCAUGCCAAUGGCAUUGCCCGGUAGCUAAAUGCGGAAGAGAUAAGUGCUGAAAGCAUCUAAGCACGAAACUUGCCCCGAGAUGAGUUCUCCCUGACCCUUUAAGGGUCCUGAAGGAACGUUGAAGACGACGACGUUGAUAGGCCGGGUGUGUAAGCGCAGCGAUGCGUUGAGCUAACCGGUACUAAUGAACCGUGAGGCUUAACCUUACAACGCCGAAG